rnacentral:misc_RNA from 1 species
UUGACUGGUUUCCUGCCCCGAGCAGGGGGGGGGGGACUCUGAGGGGGCCUUAGUCACGCCACGUGGUUUCGGACGGGGUACCGCCGGCGGGUCCCGGGUGGCUCCGCCCUGGAGCCGCCCGCCGAGGCACGUUGCUGGUAAGGUUCGCGAUGGUUUGGGAGCGGUCCGGGUCCGGCUCGUCAAUGAUCCCUCCGCUGGUUCACCAACGGAGA